rnacentral:rRNA from 1 species
UGGUGGAGUGAUUUGUCUGGUUAAUUCCGAUAACGAACGAGACCUUAACCUGCUAAAUAGUUGCAUGAACAUUACGUUCAUUUCAGCAACUUCUUAGAGGGACUAACUACGUUUAGUAGUUGGAAGUUUGAGGCAAUAACA